AGUUAGUCCCCCAAGCAUUCAAAGAAGAGUCAAAAUGGACCCUCUUCUUCUACAUUUAUAAGAUCUUAUCCCCACACAAUUCAAUUGUAUUUAGUAAUUCGAUGGCGGUUUAAGAAGUAAUAAAUACCUUUCACAAAAAAACUCAACUUCGUAUCCAGAAAUAUCAAAAUAUUGAUGAUAACUAAUUGCACAAACUAUCUUUGAAAAUUGUUAAAACCAUGCAAAGGAGAUCUUGAGUGUAAAUAGUCAUAAAUGUGGCCGUGUGUGUGUAUGCGACUCUCGAGGGUCCUCUCUCUCUCUCUUUCUCUUUCAUAAGUU